rnacentral:tRNA from 1 species
AGUGGGAUGGCUGAGAGAGGAAGCGGUGGAUUGUAAAUCCAUAAACAAAGGUUAAAUUCCUUUUCUUACUA